rnacentral:rRNA from 1 species
UACGGAGGGUGCGAGCGUUGUCCGGAAUCACUGGGCGUAAAGGGCGCGUAGGCGGCGCGGGGAGUCAACGGUGAAAGCUCGGCGCUCAACGCCGAGUCGGCCGUCGAUACUCCCGUGCUCGAGCACUGUAGAGGCAGGUGGAAUUCCGGGUGUAGCGGUGGAAUGCGUAGAGAUCCGGAAGAACACCAAAGGCGAAGGCAGCAUCCUGGGAAGUUCCUGACGCUCGGGUGCGAAAGCCAGGGGAGCGAACGGG